GCCAGGUGCAGUGAUCCACACCUGUAAUCCCUGCUACUCAGGAGGCUGAGGCAGGAGGGUCACAAAUUCAAGGCCAGCCUUAAAACUUAGCAAGGCCCUAAGCAACUUAGUGAAACCCAGUCUCAA
rnacentral:sRNA from 1 species